UAAUCACCGCAUUUCAUCGUUGAGAACACCUAUCUUGUCCGAUCUGGGAAGUUAAGCAACGUCGGGCCCGGUUAGUACUUGGAUGGGUGACCGCCUGACAAUACCGGGUGUUUUGAUGAU
rfam:Ciona savignyi cont_13849, whole genome shotgun sequence.